CGUAACAAGGUCUCCGUAGGUGAACCUGCGGAGGGAUCAUUACACAAAUAUGAAGGCGGGCUGGAACCUCUCGGGGUUACAGCCUUGCUGAAUUAUUCACCCUUGUCUUUUGCGUACUUCUUGUUUCCUUGGUGGGUUCGCCCACCACUAGGACAAACAUAAACCUUUUGUAAUUGCAAUCAGCGUCAGUAACAAAUUAAUAAUUACAACUUUCAACAACGGAUCUCUUGGUUCUGGCAUCGAUGAAGAACGCAGCGAAAUGCGAUAAGUAGUGUGAAUUGCAGAAUUCAGUGAAUCAUCGAAUCUUUGAACGCACGUUGCGCCCUUUGGUAUUCCAAAGGGCAUGCCUGUUCGAGCGUCAUUUGUACCCUCAAGCUUUGCUUGGUGUUGGGCGUCUUGUCUCUAGCUUUGCUGGAGACUCGCCUUAAAGUAAUUGGCAGCCGGCCUACUGGUUUCGGAGCGCAGCACAAGUCGCACUCUCUAUCAGCAAAGGUCUAGCAUCCAUUAAGCCUUUUUUUCAACUUUUGACCUCGGAUCAGGUAGGGAUACCCGCUGAACUUAAGCAUAUC
rnacentral:rRNA from 1 species